GAUCCAAGAGAGGCACUUACAAGUUACGAAUACCUUUAAUAUUUGAAGAAAAGUCUAAGAAGGGGUUGUUGUUCUAGAAGUCUAGAAAUUAAAUAUGGAGAUGUAUACUGAUGCAAAAUAUGUAGGGUCUGUAGCUAAUAGGAGGUCCACCUCCAAAUAUUGCAUAUUCUGGGGUGGAAACUUGGUGACUUGGAGGACUAAAACAAUAUUACUGCAAAGUCCGAUGUUGAUGUUGAUGUUGAGGUUGAGUUUUGAGCUGUUGCUCAAGGAAUGUGAUAGGAUAUAAUAAGAUAGGUUUUAAUGGGUAAUACGGGCAGGACAGAGAAAACAAUUUUAGGAAUUAAUUGUUGUUGGGUAGUUAGAAGUGAGUUGCCUUUAUAAGAAGGCAAGGGGGGUCCGGUAGAGGGCAGUUUUGGAUUUGUGAAUUGUUAGACUGGAACAUUGUCCAGUGGAGGGAGGAAGGCUCCCUUGGGGGUGAUUCUUUGUAUUCUGAUUCACUCGUACAUCAGUAAUACAUUCUAUUCAGUUCUGUUUUGUGUGUUCUUGAGAGAAGGAGAGAUUUGAUUGGCUUCUUGACUAAAGGAGCCUAACAGAAUGUGUGAAUUGUUAUUGACAAAAAUUAUUUUGAAUGAUAUUUAAAGUGAAGCGUGAAGAACCUAUAACCCUUUAUGGUGAUGAUAAAUUAGUUAUUAGUAUUGCUUGCAAUCUACUUAAGUAUUAUAGGACUAAAUACACUGACGCUUCAAUCACAUUUGUUCACAAAAGAUCUUUCCACAUAAUGGUUUCACGAUACGUGGAAGCUAAGAGUGAUAGAUAUUAACUCAUUUAACAGCUUGAAGGGGAGUGUUGAAGGGGAGUGGUAAGUUAUGAAAAGAUAUUAUUAAGUUACAAGGAGAUGUUAUCAAUCAUUGUAAUUAUGAAAAUUAAGAUACGGUAAUCAUUUUUCCAGGGUGGUUAGAACUCCAUAUAUACCCUUUGCAAAUUUACUAUCAAUUCAAAUUGAAUGAGAUCUUUCCUCUUCAAAUAUCCAAGUAUUAUUUUUUCAAGUUCCUGUUAUAUUUAAUCCUUAGGCUACUGUGUAAUUCCUAUUGUUCUGACUUUGUUUUAUACUUUCCUUGUGUAGAGGAGAUGAUAAGGGGGCUCACUCAAGUAUCUUGGGAACGUGUGGAUGUUAGCUUUCAGAAAAGUAAACAGCGCUACAUUGCUCACAGUACAAUUCAGGUGAAAACAUAUUGGUUGAAUUCUGAUGGUGCUGAUGUGGUUUACCAUAUGAUAGAUAACUUCCUUCUUUAGCCUUUUUGGUGAGUAAAUCAAUGUUGUGAGCAAUAGUUUUACUCUAAUCAUAUAUCCCCUAUAUUAUGUCUUGCAACGUAAUGGAUGAAGAUUUGCUGUGUACAUUAUAUUGUGGCAUUGGAAGUCGAUGACUUCGUUUGAGAGCACCUUUAUGUACAUGAGGAGUCUUCUUAUUUAGUAAUUUUUGUUUAUAUAUUGAUGUUACUGAUAACGUGAUAUCAACACGAUGCUAUAUUCUACUCUCUCCAUAGUCUAUAUUUUCUGUUUGA